UUUUUAAUAUAAAUAUGUGCCAUGCCAUAUUUGGGGCAUACUUAUGUUAAAA
rfam:Pan troglodytes isolate Yerkes chimp pedigree #C0471 (Clint) chromosome 12, whole genome shotgun sequence.